AGAACUCUCAAAUCAUGUGAUUUGGCAACUAUGCCACCUCACUUUCGUUUCUUAUUCUGCAUAAUGAGGUUAGAUGUCCACCGUCAAAUGUCGAAUUUCUCAAUUAUGUGUUUUCACGGUUGUCCGAUUCUUUCCAGUGGCGCUUACAUCGAUUCGGAGGAGGCCUCGAAGUAGUCUGUGCCCUUAAGUUGCAGCCAAAAUCAAAUGUUGGAUAUAUUUAACAUUAUUUGUAUCUAUUCAGAGACUGAUGCGGACAUUACAACCAAAAUAUUGUGGAGUAGAAAAGUUGAAUAGACACAUUAAAGAUAUUUUCCAGCGUGGAAUGAAAUACUAGGACAAAUAACAAAGACAUAUUCUGGAAAUAGAUGCAACUACUUUCUUGCAAGAUAUAUCUGGAAAUAUCGUUAAGUAUCUGUUCUGACAUUGAUGGGGAAAUUACAAUCAAAAAAUGAUGGAGUAGAAAAGUUGAAUAGUUGCAUUAAAGAAAUUAAUCAGCGUGGAAUGAAAUAUUAGGCUAAAUAACAAAAACGUACACUAAAAGUAGAUGCAAUUACUUUCUCGCAUGAUGUAUCUAGAAAUAUGUUUAAGCAUUUGAUCAGACACGGAGGGGAAAAUUGCAACAGAGAUAUUAUGGAGUAGAAGUAUUAAAUAGAUAUAGUGGAGCAAUCAUUCAAGCAAGAGCAAUAUUAAAUUAGAUAAGUUUGUCUUGCACGUUACAGACUUUAAAAACAAUGUAAUACCAGCAUAUUUCAAAUAAAUAGUUUAAUAGAAGUA